UAAAAAGAUUUUCAGUCUUGAACUCCAGUAUGCCACGUUUGGGUGGGUAAUUACAAGCAAUUAGGAGAAAGUAUGGAAUUAGCACAGUUUUUUGUGUGGGUGGCAGUGCUUUUCAACAAAAUCAAGGCAGAGCAUUUACACCCCAGGGGGGGCUAAAAUUACUUCUUUUCAGGUUACCUAAAGAUAUACAAAAGGCAAACGAAAAAGUGGACUUAUUUUCUUUUUUCCUGUUUUCUCUCUGUUGCUAGUGGAGUGGCAGGUACAGCCUGUGACAAACAGGGCUUGUUAUGUGCUCUAAAUCUGUCAAGGCUGAUUGCACUGGCCUCAUUUGACUAACAGCUACGUUGCAAAAAAACCCCAAAACAUUCAGACACCAUCCUCGGUUGAUGAGGAGAUUAUGAGACAAAAUAUGUGAUUAAAUCUUUAAAUCUACGGUCUACUGCCGUAGACUUGAAUUGCAUUGCUACUAAUGUGUUCCACUUUAUCAUAUUUGGUUCAUAUCUGUUAAAUACGACAAUCUAGCAGUAUACACAUGAAACAUGACUGCAUUGUAACUUUGUGUUGCUUUUCUGAAACAGAGUUUAAAAAUAAUAUAUAUAUUUUUAAACUGCGUUAACUAUAAUUACAAUAAUAACAAUAAUAAGUCACACAUAUCGUUAAAAAGUGAACAAAAUGGAUGAGUUUGCUGUCAAUUUGCAUGUGAUUAAAAAAAAAAAGAUUUUCAGAAAAUUCAUUCUUCAGGGAAAGACGAUUAAAAAAUAAAUGGGUGGGUCACUGUAGCCACUUUAUCGACACGGUGCCAUAUAUUAUCCUCCAAAUAAGAAGCUUUAACAACUUUCAUCUGUCACUCCACUAGCAAAAUAAUUAUUUCCAGACCUCAGCCAUCUAAAACCCUGCCAAAGCAUUUUACUCUCGGUGCUAAUAGAAGCUUUUAUCAUUCUUUCAUUCUUAAUAUCUUCUCUGUCAAACCCUCCCUCUACUCAUGUUUUACUCAAAGAAAUUAUACUUGCUUAGUUAGAAGAAAUAUAAUGAGAUUAAAAACCAAAUAAGAUCUACCCAGUAAAGUGGCAUGGAUUGUGUCCUCGUAAAAAAGGUGAAUUAAAUAAUCAAAAAGGUGGUUUUCCUUUUUUGGUUGGCUUUCGAAUUCACAUGAUCGGACUUCCCUUAUUUUCUGUGUCAUUGCGAACAGCGAGUGGCGUGAGCUAUUGUUUUCCAAGGAUUACAAUCACACGGAACGAGUGGAUCACGGUGGAAUAUGAUCGCGUACCACUUCAAUGCUUUAAUGCUGUUAGGGGGGAAGAAAGAUAAUAAAAUCCAAAAGACACACUGGGCCUCUAGUAAUACGAAAAAGUAGGAGAUGUAGGGAUUUAAAUGAAGGGGAUUAAUCUUGGCUGGUAGUACAUUUGGUCAAUUCUAAAAUGAAAGCUUUGUAUGACAUCUCAUGGAUUCAGAAUUCAUUUAGAGGCAUGUAUAGCAGUCUCUUUGCCUCUCUCUCUUUCUCCUUCAGAGGCAAAGGGUCGAUGAUUAAAUGCUGUAGUCUGUGGGAUGCAUCAACCAGGGGGCGUACAACGCAUCUGUUGUGUUAGUCUCGCCGAAGCGGUCGAAGCGAUGGCAGGGCUCCCAUGCAGGAAUGGUCUCAGCUUCUGUUUUCCCAUUUAUUUAUUGUCAUCUAUUGGACAUCUAUUUGUACAAUUUCCCACAAAACACGAACUGGUUUAAUUGGAACAAGCUCCACUCCGUUGUUUGAUGUCCGUCAAUGAUAAAAUCCCGCUGUAGCGUUUAAUCACAUUUAGUGCUAGUCUAAAAGAAAGACUUUACAGGACAACAUGGCAUGAGUUUUAUUUCUAACAUUUGCAACCUGCUAUUUUAUAUUAGCUUUGCCAGUUGUUCCAUUUAUUAUGAAGACCUGAUAAUCAUAAUGCAACAUUUUUAGAGAAGGAGAUUCUAAACGUCAAAACCAAACAUUCCACUCCGAAAUUAGCUAAAUUAGUAGUGUAAAGUAAGAAAUGAAGUAAGUACAUUAAUGAGUACUGCAGUUAAGUAGAGGCUUUAGGCACUUGCAUUACUAUUUUUAGUUUAGAAGGCACUAUUUUAUUUCUUUACUUUAAGACAUUUGUUUUACAGCAAGAGUUACUAGUUCCUUUGCCAACUAAGCAUUGACGUCAACUCAUCCAUUUACAAAUUAUGAUAGAUUUUUAGGAAUUCAGUAUCCUUGCUUUCACCUUCUUCCCAGUCCUAAAUUAUAUGAGUGAUUCACCCCUCUGACGUUGGAAGACAUUUGAUUUACUGGGGAAACGGGCAUCCUCUUAAGCUGGUUUUAUGGUCUAUUUACAUCAGCAGGUGUAUUCAUUCAUGAUGCUCUUUUUUGUUUAUAUGUUACUGUCAAGCCUUUUCAUAUGAGAUUCACACGACAGAUUCCCUGAUGUCAAAUGCAUCCAUGUUGGUGGGGAUAGUAUAGAUAUACAAUAUUAAGGAUACUGGUUCCAUGUCUUCAAGGGGUAAAACCCUUGAACCCAGAUUUUUGGCACAUGUUAACGGAGCUAUUAGUGUUAGAGAUGGCAUUAUCACCUGUGGCCCCUGUGUAGAGCAGUGCAUUACAGGAGAGGGGCACGCUCACAUCCACAAAUAUCCACCAAAGUCAUCCACGACGAGCACAGCUAUGACAACAAAGCAAGGAGAAGCUCUGAUAACCACACACACAGCGGGAGAGUGACUAGAUCCUCUGUUCAGGAAGACUUUACUCUGUUAUCUCUUCAUAGCAAGUUGUUGUUUGCUGAUCUCUUACAGUUCAUAAUGUUAAGUCAAUACAAUAUUUAGAUAAUGAGAUUAUGUACACAACCCCCGAUGAUGUCUAACAUGCAAUUCGUUGAAUGAGAUAAAGGUAAAGUUAACUCAUGAAGACAAUCCUCUAUAUCCUUUUUUAAAGAAUUGUCAUAAUAAUGACAGAUUUUCCGGGGCAUAUUUUUAAUAUAUUUUCCUCCCACUGCUCUUGUUAUGUCACCAGUCGGAAGAAAGUAAAAGAAAAUACUUUCCUUAGAAACUUAGUGGAAUUGAGCUGGAGAACCUCCAAAUUGGACCACAUGAAAGCACAAAGCAAAUCCUUGUAGCUACCGUACCUUGUAUAAAACUUUUUUUCUCAAAGCCCUCUAGUGUAUCAUUAUUAUAAUUUAUGGCUACGCAAAUCCUUUUACUUUAUUAUAGCAUAGAAUUGUUGCAUGUUUAUAUACUAUAUGUGCCGAGGUGCCAAAAGGCAUUCAUUUAGCCUCUACCUACAAUUUUCUUUCUUGUCUCCAUAACUGGCAACAUAAUGGUGGUGAUGCACCCUGCUUCAGCUCCGUGUAUCUCUAAGCGUGCAGCUGUCGCCGCCCUGCAUGCUCCAAAUAAUCCUACAUUCUGGCAGAGAACUACUAUAUCCUAAAAUAAUAGGCAGCACAUUAUCUUAGCUAAGAACAUAUUUCCUGUUUGUCAAGGGCAAUUUGGCAAUAGGCUUGAUGUUUAAGGACUCAUAAUCAUUCGAAUAGCAUCAGCUAAACGCCCUUUCACGAAUGUGCAAUACGCACACACAAACACACUCUGCUGCACACAGUGUGGUCUCUGAUUGAUUAGCACAGUGGCACUGGUACAAUAGCUCCAAGGGGGUGAACUCCUUAAAUAGGAGGUUUGAACGAAAAGUCAAGGCAAGCCAAGAAUUCUGAUCAGCUGCACGAAAACCGCUCUGGAUGAUGUUCAAAUACUAACACAUAAUCUUCAGAGGUAAAAAAAAAAAAAUGCAUCUCAGUUUUCAGUAUCUCCCCUGGAAAUGCCUUUAUGAAUAGCAUCAGUUUAAUAACAGUUUUCAGUUUUGAGUAUUAAUUAUGAGUUGUGAAUGUUGAGAACAGUUUCUAAACAUUUGCUCUGGUUCGUUGGUCAGUAGGGUAACGUGUAGUUUCUCAUUUUGUUUGUAUCAUGUAUGAGCAAAACAAUGCGCAUCACUCACGUCCGGCAGAAUUCACGGUACAACGACGGUAAUGUAUAAAGGAAUGACUUAAUCUGACAAUAAAGGAAGUGAAGAAUAAGACUGAGAGCAACUUAAAAUAGAAUACACAAUUUUACAUAUUUCAAAGAAUGACUCUAAAUUUUUUACACAUUCAAUUUUUUAAUGAGAAACAAUCAUUUUAAACAUAUCUAGUGUUUGUCUAAAGGAAAACGCAACAGGGGGCAAAAUAUUGGCCAGUUUCACCAAAUAUUACCCACUAUCUCUCUGGAUAGUACCACAUUUAUUUGAACGACAGGUGGCAUCAUCUUGUUUUCAAUCAAACACUCUAACUCUCCAACAAUCCAAAAAGCAGCGGUCCAAAUUCCUAUCAGUUGAUAUUGAAAAACUACAGCAAAUUAAAGAGGCGUCAUCGCAAAUGCUGGACUUUACCUAUAUGUAAAUAUAUGCAAUCUCCAUUACAUGAUUCAUAUUUGGGACCAUUUUACAUACAGUACAAUGCAUAUUUGUGAAUGGAAUUUACUAUAUGCAGUACAUUACUUGACAAAAGUCCAAGGCAACUUAUGUUUUUUCACAGAAAACUGCUUGGACAAGUGGAAAAUCACAUGUCUUCUUCCAGUGACUCCCUCCCCUCCCCUUAGUCAUCCACCAUUAGGCUUGCGUAGUAGCGAAACCUGUUGGCAGUCUAAGCCAUGCUGCUACCUGCUGGAAUGUAACUAAGACAAAGCUCCUUUAUCUACCCUGCUAGUCCUCUGUCCACAGCACACACUUUACUAUAUUCUGUCAUUUUACAGAUGCUCUUAUCCAGACAGAGAUAUAAUGAGUGCGGUCAAAUUAAGUCUCAUGUUUCCACUUUGCGAAGGUCAUAGGGCACUGGUGGUGGAGGUCACGUGAGACCCGUUUGGAUGGCAGACUUACUUUAUAACGCCUAGUUUGGAUUUCUUUCCCUCAUUCUCGUCGUUGCUGGAUUUGUUAUUGUCUAUCUUUUUUUCUCCCUAUCUUCAUGUCACAUUACAUUUUGAAAGUGAAUCCCAUAAAUACUGACCAUAUAUUGAAGGAUAAAUUACUUAUGACGUCUAUUUUUUCCUUAUUACCAUUAAAUGGAAUUCCAAACUUCAUUUUGCAUCACUAAUGGGAAUGUCAUACAUUCUGACAAGGCUUUUAAAUAUUUGACAGAGACAAAGGAAAAAUGAGGAGACUGAAAAAAUGUCUUAUUUCCUUAAUCCCUUCGAAAAAAAUAUAAUUUUGUGGAUUUCUUACCCAAAUCUCACUUUUGAAAUUCAGUCUGAAUUUUUAUCUAAGUAAACAGGCCUGGGAAAUUAAUCUCCUGAAGACUUGACAGGGUCACACCCAGACCCACAGACCUUCCCAGCAGGUGCCCACUCUGUGCCUUUAUGCAGCUGUUACUGUGGCGUUUCUGUGAGCAAUGUAGAAAUGUGUUAAUAUGGUUAGUUUUCAGAACAAUGUUUUACAGUAUUUUAUUCUGCUUCUACCUUAACUGCACAUUUUAAUUGUCCUAGUGGAAGUUGCACUAAUGACAAAAAAAGGCCAGUUAAAUAUAAUCAAUGUGGUUAAGCAGUACAUUUUUUUAUUAAACAUUUACUCAAUAUGUAAAUAAACUCAAACGAUUUUCCUAAUGUAAUCUGGUUUGUUUUUUCCCAGCUAAAAGAUUUUUAUUCUCUGCUUUUGUUAAAUUUCGAAGCACCAAACUCUCAGUUGUAGAUUACUUUCUGUCUUUUAAUGACCCUCACUGGUUGAGCAAUGAUUACAAUGUAAUGUUUUAAAGGUUAGCCUUAAUUGAGGCAGUUUCCAACAUAAGCAAUUACCAUGGAGGUCUUCUAAAUGAAGCUCAGACACAUUGCAACGGUGUGAAUAUCUGUGACUGGUGGCUACAAACACAAGAUUUGGCAUUGUCUCACAUUUACAUAUUCUCUUCUUUCCUGCUACCAAUGCGCACAUGAUGGCAUGUCAACAGGCGCCCACACAUGACAAGCAUACCAUCCUGUGUGGGUGCGUUCAGAGUGUCAAAUGAAGAAAAUAAAACUAUCCCCACCCCACCAACACACUCGGUCAGUACUUUUGAGUGACAGUGUCCUUGUGAUUCAAGAAAACACUAGUUUUAAUACAAAAUGUUGAAGAGGUAAUAUAUCACAGUGCAACAGUGCAGCUAUUUGGUAAAGUAAAAAUGUGUGUGGGUGUGGCACCUUGAUUUCGCCAUAGCAGUCAACAAACCCCCCAAAAUAUGUUGAAUCCAGAAAUACUUCUAAAAUAUUGCUAAUGCAAUGACAUUUUGAAGAUAAUGUGACAUAUUUCUUAAUGAAAGUAUUAAUGCUGUGGAAAUGACCUAGUAAAAUUCAUCAAUAUUCUUCAAUAUGAGAGGUGAAUUUGAGAUGUGACCGUUUCCGUACCUCCUGGCCCGUCAUCAGUCAAUCAAGACUUCUAACCAGAUGGAUUUUAUGAUUCAUUUGAGGAAAUUAUUUAAGCAAAGGCAAGUCACAUAGAGCUGUUUUAUUGGGUUCGGGCCAAGGCCUCGCAACCUACACACAACACAUAACGAGCAACACCAUCUCACACCCUGUACACACACAGCCUCUCCACAGGCAUGCCAGUACUGAGCGGUGCUUCCACCGUAGCGAAGAAAGGAGGGCCAAGCAGCAACUGGGGCAGCGGGGGCACAACCUGUCAGGGAGCUGUGCUGCCAAGCCUCAAAUACAUUUUGAGGUAGCCUUGACUGAAAGUGACUUUCAAAGUUUAUCUUAAUAUAGUAAAUACGUGCUGUAUUUGUAACACAAUGAGCUUCAGCAUGUAUUAAGAAUACAUGUUCACCAGCUUUGUUGGUUAUGUUAGCAUGGUCACAUGCAAAAUGUUUUAAUUAUUAUCUGAAGAGGGCCUUAAAUGGUCAAAAUUGUAAGGAUCUUAACACAUUUGAGAAGAGUACGUGUUGGUGCCAAAAGUUGCCCUAUUGAAGAUCUUUAAAUAUUUUAGAAAAAGUGGCAUCCUCUGAUAAAUUAUGAACGUCUGUAAAAGAACUAUGGCAAUCCAUCAAGUACUUGUGGAGAUAUUUCCCCCCAAAAUAACUAUCAAUCUCUUUCUUGUGCAACAAGACAAGGGAUCACCAAAAGUAAGGUUCACCCUGUGGGGGCAAAUGAAUGAUAAUUAAAGUUUUUAUGGUUUGUUCAAUCCAAUUUGUUCUUAAUAUUGCUAUCUCCAUCUGCAGUAUGCCUCCAUGGAUUUCCUAAACUACCUCUGCAGUUCAUCAAGUGUGUAAAUUACCAAAUUUGUGGUGUCUUUUUCUCUUUCCCAGUGGCUUCACCCAGAGAACGUUUGGAAAGUCUAUCUGAUUUUACUUGGAAUUGCAAUAGCCAGACCACUACAAGUCAUCAAUCAACCUGGAUUUGUUGGACGUUUGAUUGAAUUUCAUCAUUUCCUUCAGUCUGAGAGGUUCUGGAGGUCGAUAAACCAGAUAUUUGCGCAACAGCGUCAGUCAAAUGAGUGGUAGAGGAAUGAUAUAAAUGGAAGAAUAUAAACUAAAAUCUUCCAUUUCCUCCUAUUUGUAUACUAUUGUCUCAGGAUGUAAUUCAUAUGAACCUAGUGUAUACUUGUCUUGUUCUUAAUUGUUACAGAAGAACAAGAAAAGCGUUUAACAAAAGGAAUAUACAGAACAACGGUGCUAAAUCGAAACAAAAUGUCCAUUACACAGUGUUACACAGAUAUGUUUUGAAUAUCAAUAUAUCAACAUGCCGUGUAAACAAAGCAGCAGAAUAUAUUUUUAACCCCUAUUGGAGCUUGCACCCGGCACUAAAACAUUUGCAUUUCAGACGAGUCCUUUUUACCACUCAUUGUCUCACCUUCCACUUGCAAGGAAUGCAGAAUUCUGGCAAAUAUUGUCUUCAUAUUUCAAUGUGGCCCUUGCCUGCAUAUACAAUAACACUAAACACAUUGUGGGUUGUUGUGUUGGUGAAGUUUCCAAUGCAAUAGCGAAUUUCACUUUUUCCUAGUUUUGGUAAACUUUGCCUACCCAUAAUACCCAUAAGACCAAGGUGUGGAAAAAAAUAGUAUUUAAAAAAUCUCCUCUUUCGAUUAAAAAAAUGUCAGCAUCAUAUCACAGCAAUGUCGCACCCAUCAUCCUUUUAAUUAGCUGUCAAAGUAUGACAGAGGAGCUCCAAAAAAAGAUGCUUCCCUCGACACAGGAAAACAGAAAAAAAACCCGGGAAGGACGGUUCCUAGGAUAUUUCUCUAAAGUCUAUUUUGGGGCAACAGUUCUCUUGGAUAGUACGUGUAUACAUCUUUGGGAAAUGGUGAGGACACAAAUACAUCACACAAUCCAGUGAUUGUCAAAACAAUUGUAUGUUAUUUUAUGAAAUGAUGUAGAGAGUAACUUCAAACAGUGGUAAAAAGUUCCUAAUAAGCCAAUGUGUGUGUUACAUGCCAGACAGGGACGGUCUGCAUGUGUUCUUGUCGUUCUCCCUCCUGCUCAUUGUUUCUCUCUCCAGGUGAUUACGCUGAUUGGCCAACUCCAAACACAGGUGGAAAGCAAUCAGCAGUCCCGGUGGCAGUCCAUAAAGGAAGGACUCCUGAGAAGUGAAAGGGGGGGGGGUGUGUUCUGUGCUGUGGGCUGGUGGCCAGGCUUCCUGUCCGUGAGUUUGUGCUGUCUGGUAGCAAAGCUGGAGUUUUGUGAGGUUGAGGACCUUAGUAAGUUGGGGUACCCUGUACAUUUUUGCACGUAGGUAUACCUUUGUAUAGAUACACCAGGUGUAGGGGUUGUUGCCUCCUGUGUAACGUUUUCCUUUAGUCCUUUUUAGAGAAGCGGGUAAGGUAUUUUGUUUGACUUGUUUGGGAUGAAGAGCCAGUGGUGAGCUAGGCCUCGUUUUGUUAUAUUCAUUUCAUUUGUUUUGCACAACCUGUAGGUCCCAUCUUCCACCAUCUCCCUCCCUCCUGUUGGGAGCCAUCUUUGUGUGUAAUAAAAACCAGCAAGACCCCUUUUACCCUGACUCUGUUGCCUGUCAUUUAUUUGUCGUGUGUCUACAACCUACAAAAAGGGCCGUAACAGUGUGUAACAAAAAUGUGACUUUUAUUUAUUCCGAUUCUUUUUCAAAUGUACACUUUCCGAACAUAGUUUCCCCUUCAUAUGACUAUAGUAAGAAUUUCAUGACUUUUUUGCAAAAUUAUUUGGGAACUUUCGGAACUUUUAAAAAUGUUCUUUGACAUGCUGGAUGCACAAUUCUUUCAACUGCCUGUGUGAAUCCCAGCCGGCAUUGGGAAUAGGGCUGCCAGAAGAUGUGAUAGAUGCAACAUGUAACAUAAAUCACUACGAUUUUAUAUCAUAUUUUGAAUCAUUGUGGGAGGAAUUGGCGCAGAUUUGUUGCAUAACUGAGUCAAUUAACAUCAUAUAUACUACACUAAUACAAAAAAAAUUACAAAUUCUCAACAGUGAUAUAUAUACUGUUUUAUACUGUUGAAUACUUUGAAAUACAGCAAAAGUUGAAGGCUGAGAAGAAAACUAUUUUACAGCAGGCUACCGUUUAAACUUGCAGUAUAUUACUGCAUUUAUUACUUAUUCAGUUGACUAACGUUAACUCUGCCCGUCACUCGCAUCAUAUAAUUACAUUGCAUCAAAAGUCUAGUUCUUAUUUAUCACAUUUAAUCUAAAGACUAAAGAAGAUCUAAAGAAAUCCCUAGACAUCGAUCCCUGAUUAUAUUUGGGGUGAAAAAAUGUGACAAUUUUGAGAGUCUGAACCAAGCACCAAAUUGGACCUCACACCACCUGCUGCUCCACCUCACACCACCUGCUCCACCAACCAUCCAUCCUGCCCCUGUGGCUUACUGAACAAGGUAACGUGGAUAUUAUCAAUGUCAGCAUUACCGUGUUCAGUGAUUUUGUGUUGAAUUUACGUUGUAUUGAUUUUUACCGAUAACGUGACUUGGUAUUUAGAGUAUGUCUCCAGCAUGCGCGGCGCUUCCAGCUAACGUCACUCUUGAGUGACAACAUUUAACAUCUGUAUCUUUCUGUUAAACCACAUUACCAGCAAGUUAUUUCAUUUCCAAUGACACCCCAUUUUAUUCCUCAGUUGAAUUUAAUCAAUAAGCAAAGUUCAGUUAGCCAAAGUUAGCAUGGUCGUAUUUAGCUAAUGUUAUGUUAAUUUAAUUUUGUUAUUUCAAAUGUCCCGCGUAAUUUUGUUAUUUCAAAUGUCCCGCGUAAGAUAUGAUCCUUUAUUCACGUUGUGAAAUCUAAGUAGGGUUAUUUGAACGGGCUGGACUGUGUUACACACAGACUUUGGGACUUUAUGUAGCCAUCUGCUUAUUUCCACACAGGACCUAACAUUGGAAAAAAGGAACACCAGGAUGCAGUGUGCUAUCUCUUCUUCCUCUCUAGGUAACACUUUUAACAGUAUAAUGCCUUUUCUCUGUAUAGAAAUGGCAUUAUACUGUUAAAACAAGUUUUUUUUGUAGCAUAAAAAUGUGAUGGCUACUGGUCAGACUGACCAGCGCACGGAAACAAGGCAGACAUCGGACACAUUAAAUUAGGUGAGUUUGUAUACGUUUUUUGUUUAGUUUAUUAUGCUUGGAUAAUGUGUUUUUUCUCAUGUGCUAAACUGAACAAAAAUAACAUUUUUUUCUCCUAGUUCUAAUUAGUAAGUGUUUUGGUGUAGUCGUACUGCAUCCCAGCUGGACUUUUAAAUAACUUACUGGUAAGUUAUAUUCACUGUGCAAUUGUUUUACUAUUUGUCAAAUUGUCCACCCGCUGAUGGCAACAAUAGCAUACGUUUUACACUGCAAGAAACCUAGACCUAGUGUGUAACACAACGCCAAGUGCUUUAAUUGCAUAAGAGCAACUGUAAUUGAAAUAAAUACAUCUGACCUGCAUUACAAUAUUUAUAAUAAUACGGGUAGAUGAAAUCCAGCCUUCUGAUUGGUUGAGAGUGAGUCACGGAGUAAAUUAUUGAGCGAUACAUUUUUCUCAACCGUCAGUUGACAUUUUAGCUUUUAGCUCGGUGGCGAUUGCCGGAAAACACCCGGAAAACCCACAAAUGAUCGGUUUCAGGCAAUGCAAGCAAUGCAACAAUUAAGGUGGACGUCAUCAGCAAUGUGAAUGAAUGAGAUGGUGCAGGACCCGAUUCUGUUUACGUGAACGGGGACUAUUUUUUCUCUGGACUACUGAAAUGCGAUACACAACGUUUGCUGGCUACAACUAGUUUGUGCUGAAAGGCAGCUAUUUACUUACUAUUUAUAAUUUUGCUGGUAACCAUAAAAGCAAUAAGGGACUUGAGGACGAUAAAGUACAGCCUUUCGUACCUUAUUGCUUUAUUAUAUUAGUAAGACAAAAGAAUUGCUUAAAUGUUGCAGUUACCCCUUUGUGAUUUGGAAAUAGUUGUUACCUCAGUUCAAAAAACGGAUAUAAUAUUGAUUUCCAUUCAAGACAUUUCCCACUAAAAAGUUAACACUAAUACUGUUAAACAUCUAAAAUAUUCAUAAUGACUGUAAUUAGCUGGGUGUAAAAUACUAACAGUUAAAGGAUCAACGUGUGCCUAAAAUGUGUUAAAGUAAGUUUUUACACUCAUCUAGCAAAGCAACAAAAGCCAUGAAUGGGCUUACACAAAUUUCAAUAAGGCCCAGGCUUCAACAGCCUAUUUUUGAUUUACGUAUUUAAACGCAGUUAAUCCUUAAUGCAUUAAUCAUCAAGGUAAUAAAGAGAUCACUGUUAGCUAGUUAGUUAUUACUUGAAAUACUGGCUUCACAGAAGGGAAACUUUGCCAAGGCCAUUACCAGAGAACAAUGCAACUCUUCAGACGUGGAUCCAAUGUGUAUACUAUUAUACAAAGAUCUAGAUGAUGAAACCAGCUGUGCCAGCAGAUGUUCGUUCGGAAUUCAGCUUCUCAUUAAGAGGUGGGGGACAGUAUGAGGAAACCAGAGGGAAUCCUUUUGUGAAGAUUAUUGGUGUAUCCUCCCGACCGGCUCCUCUAAGCUUGAGAUGUCUUUUACACCUAAUAAAUCCGCUUGAUUGGUCAAUAAUUAAAAAAAACAAACAUGUUUUUGUUGCACAGUAUAUGCAUGUCGUGUGGUGCUAUUUUAUGCAAGGGCUAGUAAGUUUUUAAGCAGUGUAAUCAUUUUAUUCUGUGUCUAUGUAGGAGAGGCUUAUGAGUACAUCUGCAAUAACGUACACCGUGGUACUGAGGUGCAACCUGAUCGCCGGGCCAGAGUUUUGUCAAACAGAAAGAUAGCUGACAGAUCUUAGUUUUUACUGAGAUUUCAGAUUGAGCUUUGUCUGUAAAUAGGAAACAACAUUUGGUAAGUGAACUGCUUUUGUGUUUUUACAUUUGCAGCAGCGUGUUGAUUUGUGUAUCGUGUUUUUUUUUAUUAUGUAGUUAAUAUUGUUCCCCUUAAUAGCCAACAUUUUGAAAACGAGAGUCUCUCAGCAGACUGCGAUAACUUUCAAAUGGCAACCGUGCGUAACAUUAACAUCAAAUGUGAAGCAGUUUUUAGGCAAAUAUUGAAUUCAAUAUUAAUGUUGAUCAUUCUAAACACAAAAGUUACUUACUGAAUGUGUACAGUGAGACUUUUUCAAUAUGUAGAGUUGUUGGUGCUUAGCUCAUGGACAUACCUUAACCAUAAUACGAAUAUUGCUACCCAUUUUAGUGUAUUGUAGUUAUUUGUUGAGGUAAUUAUCUACAUAUUUACUGGCACGUAUGUACGUAUAGAUCAGACUGAAUCGAAAUAGCUCCAUCUGAGCAUGGUUAAACUUUCAAUCUGGCAGACAAAAACAUGCAUCAGGACAUGAAUCUACAGACACGAGACGGAUGAACAGAGGCUAUUCCCAAGGUGUGUUGUUUACUUGAGGUUGAGCUGCAGCAGCUGAGCUUUGUUCAUAAAAUUACUUAAAAUAACCAAUUAUCCAUCUUUGGCAGUGUGUAGGAACACUUCACAAACCCCAGAGGAUGUCUGUAGUCCUGACACUGACAGAAACAACUCAUGUCACACAGUCUAAAUCCAGCAUUUCACAUCCUUCCCUUUUUCUUCUCACAUUCUGUGUUCUCUCUGAUAUGGUCUAUGUGUCUUUAUUUAUGUCUGCUUCUACGUUUUUGAGUCUGUUUUUAUAUCUGCAGGUCUAUUGUAUCAAAAGUGAGUAUUGUGUUAGCAUUGGCUUGAACAAAUGGGAGGCGUAAGCAUUCAAUGCAGCAAUAACAUGAUAUCAUUUUUGAGGUGUAGAAUACAGUGAUUUCUUGAUGAUUAGAAAAGUUGGGCAUUAUUUCAGAAUGUAUUAAAUAUCGGACCGCUGUAUCAAAAUAUAUUACCGGAAUUAAUUCCAUAUUAGAAUUUAGAAUAUCAACAUUAAAUAUAUCAUAUCAGUGACUAAAGAUUCUGAAUAUUGGGGUAAUGAAAAAUCUGCAAUCCCUUAAUUUUAUUAUUUAUUGAAUUUGACUGACUUAAUAUAAAAACCUUUGGCCUGGAGGUUCGCAUUUGAUUAGAUGUCUUACAGCCUAUGUUGGUUUGGAUCAUCUCAUAAUAUAUUUGAGAUGGGGCACAAAACAUUUAAACUAGAAUCUAAAUGGUUAGUUUUUGAUAUGGCAGCUAACUGCAUGGAAGUCACAAAGAGGCUAAAGUCUCUACUAUUUUGAUUUUUAGCUGUGGUCUUGAAGACUACAUAAAAGGUUUUCCGGGUUAGUUUUCCAAUCGAAACCAACUACCUGAAGACUUCAACAAAAAAAGAAGAGCAUUGCAAAUGACUGAAUGAUCCUCUGAUGAAGCGAAAAAGAAAAGAAAAAACAUUAAUUGAUUGUGAAAACAAUCAAUAACUUGUAGUUAUAUACAGAUCAAUUGGCAUUUCUUUCAACCUGUCUACUCUGGAGUGAAUGUAAUAUUUGGAGAGGCCUCUCUUUUGCGAGAUAUCCUAAAAUACAUUUCUAAUAGCAGAGAAUAUCACAUCAAUUCACAAUUUUCCCUUCCAGUGCUGCCUAUUGAAUUGUAUGGUGGCAUAUUUCCAUGCUACAUAUUAAGCAAAUGUGAUGGAUGGCCCUGGAGAGGGAGGUAGGGGAAUUAAAAGAAAGAGACCUACAGCAUGUUGAAAUUACGAUGAAAAUAGGGACGACAAGCCCAACCGGGCCAGGUGGGUUGGACACGGUGGUGAUAGAAUUCCACUGGGCAUCCUUCUAAUUAGUCCUGCUAGCCCGAGGCGGUGCAUUGCCACUGGCCUUGUAGCAUACAGAGCUCCUGCAAGGGCCUCUAAUAGAAUGAUUGACCGCUCUGCAAAAAACACUGAUGAUGGUUAUCAUAAGCAUAGCACUUGCAUUUAAUUACCCAGGGGUUUACAAUGCAUGAUAAAUAUACCCACAUGCAUACAGAUCGAUAAUUGGCAUUCACAGUUUGGAAUAUUAACCACCCAAGCUUUGGAGCUUUUGUAUCAGUCACCCAUCGAUCACACACACAUUUCAGGAAUCUAGAAAUACAGUAGGAAAAUAUAUGCCCCACUACGAAUCAACCUCUGUUAUGCUCUCUUGUUAUCUCUCACAAAAUGCGAUGGUACACUAUUAUUUUCUUAUUGGCGGUUUCACAAAAAUGGGCUGAUUUUGUUCUGUUCCAUGAGUGAUCAUUUAAUUUGACUUCAGGAAGGAAACACAUAGAUGUGACUACCUAGGAGCUUUUCCGUAAUUGGGCCAGUGAGGGAAAUCUGCCAUUGAGAUUGUGUCAAAGUGAGUGUGCGCUACCCCAAUGAGCAAGUGGUAAGGGGACUUUAGGGCCCAGCAUCUUAGCAGCAUCUUCAAAAAUCGACUUCUAUUUGCAAAAGGAAGGAUUACGCCGUUAAAUGGAAGGCAACCUUUCUCGAAGGUGAAGGUGUCAUGCCUCCCUCACCAGGCUUAACAUCUAAUUAUUCCGAAUAAGAUAAGUAUCAAGGAUAAUGACAUAAUGAACACAACGGUAUAAUGAGUGAAGUAAAUGCUCUUCCUGUCACAUUUCCCCCUCUUUUCAGUCGAUACCAAAAUUAGUUUAUGAGCAGAAAUAAAUUAGUAAAAUCCCUUGAUCAUAGACACAAUCAUGGAGGCCAGCCUUGGUGUCGCUAAACGUUAAUCUCACAACCGUGAGGCAAAUGUCAAAAUGAGUUGCUUUAAUUGUUCGAAGGAUGUGAAUACAACCAUUGUCACUCUAGACUAUUCCUCGUAUGGCCUCAUUAAUUCAGAUUAUAUUCACACCUCUCAGGGUUGUUAUCACACAUUUUAUUCCUGUUUUUCGUGUGACAGGUCACAGGAAUGCAAAAGAAAUCACCAAGGGAUCAAACCUGGAACUGCGCUGUCGUUGAACACAACUCUUUUUAAUAUGUAGUUUGAAGUGUUGAUUGUUCUUAUCUUGUUGCAUCUGUUUCUUAAACAAGAAGCUUUAAAAAUGUAAUGUUAUUCAUCAGUCUUACCGUAAAUGUUGAAUUACUAUUGGUUUCAUACUUCUGAAAAUACUAAAAGACGGAAAUAUCAACAUGUAUUGGUGUAAUGAUUAUUGCCAUCUUUAAUUAAAAAACAAUUAAUCAUCUGGUGAUUUUGCAUUAAGAAUUACUCCAACAGUACUUUAAUAUUUACCUAUUUUCCAUGACAUAAUCAGCGUCAUCCCGUUUCUGUGUUUGAUACAAAUUCAGCACACACAGAUUGUCUUAGCUCCUUUCUUGCUCUCCAGCAUUCUUAGGUUCAUGUUAUUUGUGUAUCUUAUGAUAUGUUGAGCAAACUGGACACAUCUGACAAAGACACAUUUGUGUUAUUUUUCUCAAAAGAGGGAAGCAGUCCAAAGGAGUCUUGAGCUUGGCUUAACCGAUUCGAUCCUCUGGCACAGUUACACUGAUCUUAACUAUUGCAUAUUUUAAUGAGUUUGCCCGGUAGUCAAAAUAAAUUGAAUUAUCGUUUCAUCAAACAUCUGUUUGUUUACUUGUGGUGUAAAUGGAAAAUGCAACGUUUCAGUGGACUUUUUAAUGCCUACCCUGCCGUCGUCGUCGAGUUGCUGCCAACGGCGUUUCCCGUAAAACCCGGAUUCUAAUGAGGACGUCCCCAGUCAUCAGUGAGUUUGCUAAUACUUGUCAAACGCUGAAAAAGACACUCUCCGCUCUCUAGUUGGCGGGACACAAGCUCUCAGCUGAGCGCACACACACACACAUACACACACACACACACACACAUUUAUGGAUUUUGGGGUGGGACUGAUACGGAGAAAUGUGAUAUCAUGCUCUCAUUGUUUUCGAGAAGAGGCUUGUGCUCAUAAAACGUACAUGCGUAGCGUAUCGUAACUUGCAAAUCAAGAAAGGUUUUAAUUAACAUGAAUUAGCUGCAGCAAAAUAACCAGCUGAGACUAAAUGAGUAACCUAGUCGGCUGUUUGGCAGUCAGUGUUAACGUUAAUAUCUGCUCUCUAUUGUCUUCUGGUUCUCAGCGUUCUUUACGUGCACGUAUGUAGAGCUGGCAGAUGUGCUGUACUGAUAGGCAGAGGCAACGGGGAGGGGUCAAUGGCUGUGAUUGCGCCCACCUCAAGUCAAUUUAGAAGGAAAAAAAAACGAUCUACGUUGUUUUAUGGGCAGGUGAGAUGAAAAUUUUGAAUGAAUACAGACAAUUGUGUCCACCCAAAAGGCACAUCAGUCCAUCCUGAAAGUGCAUGGACUGACAGAUGGCCAGGCCUUCCCUGAUUAGACCCGAUCCAAUAUGCGGUUGACCUGGAAAGACCUGAAUAGAGACACACCAUCAAAGCAGGCAGCAGUAUGAUGUUAUAUCAAUUAUUUAUAAAAACACAUGUGAAAUUAAGCUAGAAACUAUGUCCAACAAUAAUGUUUUCAGGAUUCAAACACCAUUAAUUAAGGUAAAUAAAUUCUAUUUUCACUUUCUGCACCAGUAGUAGACAUUCAGUAGCCAACUGGGCAACAGAAGGUGAUCAUUUUUAAUAAAAUGUAAUCCGAUCUGAUGACAUAUCUUUUACAGACUUGAAGCUGUUGGUAGUAAAACGAGACCCAACCUGAUGAAGCACGUUAUGGACCCAAUCUGACUUUUUUUCUUCAGAACCAAAUGUACAGAAGAAGAACUCCCAACGGAGGGUUCUUCCCUGUCAAUCAGCAGUUCCAAUAAAAACGCUACAGUGUGACUCUUUAAUGAAAGUUGGUAAAAUAAUGACAUCACUUUGAAUUUUACCCUGCAACCUAAUUUCAAAUAAAGGUUCGAAAUACAUGAGGAAAGAGCGUGCACACCACACACAGACAGAUGCUCACGCGUUGCUUUUAAUGGCGUGUCUCAUUGGCACACCACAUUACAAAUCACUUACAGCGGGUGUGAAGAUCAGUGGCCUUCUAUUCUCUCAUUAAGGGUAAUUAAGUUGGAGUGAUGGGUGUAGUUGGUGGGGGAGGCCUGAACCUGAUUGUCCACUAGUCUUUCAGUGUGAAGUGUUGAUGAUUCCUUUGGACACAGCAUUGGACAAGGAGCUGCUGUAGGGAACACUCUAAUCAGCUCUGGCCACACUCCCUAACUUUAUUCUCAUUAAAGUUGGCAAGUGACAUUUAACUACUACACCAGGGACUUCACAAUGCAAAUAAAUGGUAACUUCAGUGUUGGAAUUAUAAUGGCCUUCUUAUUCCACUUUUAAUGACCCAAUCUAGAUUUCAAAGUCACUUCCUCCGCAGGUCGGCUUGCUCGCUCCUACAAGCCUUCUUAUUGGCUAAUAGAGAGCAAACGAUGUCAAUUUAACUGUGGAGGGAUUCUCGGCGGUAAGAGGAAGAGGCUAAAAAGUCAAUAACUUACUUUACCUCCUCCACUCCACCUACUUCCAAACUGUCUUUAUUCAGGCCCAUUUGAGUAUUUUCAUGGUACAUUUAAUACAGGAGUCUCUCUAAUCCCCAGGCCCACCUAAUGAGACGGUAAUGAAAAGUUAAUCCACAUAGCUCAACUCCACCUAGCCUUUAGCUAAUGCUGCUUUUAACUCCAGCUCUCAUUAACUUUUAAAACAUGUGCCAUUAACAGGUUGGUAGACGACCCAUCGGCUGACUUUCCAUCCAACCACUCACUGUGUCUGAACUUUAAAACAUAAUUAGGUUAGCGAGAGAAAUUCACACUGACCACCUAAUUAGGAUACAGUGUGGAGUUCAGCUGUCAGAGUAUCGAUUGGAUGGGGAUUCUCUGGCACGUGGUGGUCAGGUUGGACACUAAACCCCAGCUGGGGUCUGACCCUGAUGUCUGACAGUCUUUUAAUUGUUUUUGAGGAUGCACAUCUAGACACAGAUAAUAGUUUUCGCUUAUCACGUUUGCAUUCUUAACCAGAGGGACCAUUAGGAGGUACAAUAUCAAAUAUAAUUUUCUUACCUACGGGACUAUUUGUAAUUUUUCACAGCAACUACAAAUAUUGAUACGUUGUUGUGCGAAAUCCACUUUCAUUAGGAAAUGGUGAAUAAUUUAAGAGGAUGAUUAAAAAUAAAUCCCAGCCAACCAACAUCAUAAGCUUUAGGGGGGGGGGGGUAGGCUAUCUAGUGAUUUGAAGUAGACCCUCCCACCUCUAAUAAAGACAGCGUCUGUUGUCUACCAGCCCAUACAUGACAACACUGGGGCAUAAAAUAUGUCUUACUGAACCAACGAUAAAUAGUGAUUUGAUUACAAACGGUUAAUGCAAGGGCAAACAAGUGUGUGUAUUUUGCAUUCCUGGGGCUUUCUUGACAGCUCUCAACUGAUUACCAAUUCAUCAUUUUUGUGCUGUGGUGACAGAUAAUUCUACAGCACUGUUGCUCUGGAGAAUGAAAAUGAGGUUAAUGAAUGUGGAUCAGGCUAAUUCCUCUGUCCUUGCCAGACCGCAGGCCUAUAAAAUACCCAUAUAUGCAGACCUGCAUGGGUAAAAUGGUUUGUAGCUAAAUGGAAAUUUUCACAGGCCCCAUGGGACAGUGAGCCUAAAAGCACAUGGAGCUCUGCUGUCUUUGCAGUAAUAAAGAUAAUGUCUUUCAGAUAUUAAAAACAUUUUUAAAAAGUCAUCAGUUGCAUGAAAAAAAAUGCACAUCCACAUUUAACUGUGAGGGAAGUCGUGUAACUUCUUAAAACUAUUUAUAUAUCGUAUACCGAUUAUCAUUUUGGGGGAACAAUGGAUGUUACAGCAUGCCGGCUCUACACACUGCCGGUUUCAUAGGGACAUGUAUUUAUGUAAGAAUUCUUAGAUACAGGCUCUGCACCUGAGUGAUCAGCGGAGACCACAGGCUGUUGUGUCCAGAGAAAAACCUCCCCUGUUAACACUUUUGAAAAGGCGGUUUGAGGCUCUUUCUUAUUUGGACUUUAGCACAUCCUGUGCCUCUGCAUGAAUCAAAAUGAAUCACACGGCCCAGCCUUUGGACCCAAACACAGUCUCUCUCGGUCUGCUCAAAGGGUAACAACAUACUACACAUGUAUGGCAAAUACGGCCUGAAAACGUAAAUCUGUAUGGUGUCAGAAUCCAGCUUCACGUUGUGAUACCUACAGGGUACGUCGGGGAGAAAAAUCGCUUACGGAAUCACAGAAGUUCAGUUGCCUCCCACCCCAGAAGAAUUAUCUUCCUCUCACCUUGGGGGGCUGCCGGUUAUCUGUUAUCACACUCGCAACUACAGUAUUGCAGUUCGUUUUACUGUGUAGACAUCCGUCUGGAUGGGGAGAGAUAGCAUUUGAUGCAUUCCCUUUUGAUUCAAGUCGGAUUCAGUGACUAAUUUGUGGGCUUGCUAUGUAAUUGCACGGGCACGCUUGCGCUUACAAAAUCAACCUAUUGGUAGUAGUCGGUGUGCACUGCCACCCUGCUCCUGCCGGACAGUAAAUUUCACAUAGUUAGAAAUCAAUUUAUGGAUCUUUACUUCGACUGUGUAUUUGGCGAUGACUCUUCUGCCUGGAGGAUCAUUCUAAUCACAGUACAUCAAAAUGUUCUAAUGAGAAGAAAACACAAAUUCCGGCACAUAUGCAUCUUUAAAGAGGAAGUUUUCAUUUUAAUUGUCUGAGCUCUCCAGUUACACUUUAUAUUAAGUUGUUAAUUAGAGUGAUUAAUUCGAAUAAUUAACUGUUACCAUUAAUCAUUGUGAAAUUAAAGUCAAUACUUAUCUCUUUUCAAACGUUGGAGUGAUGAAUAAAGGCUUGCGACUGUUGAAACUUUGAUCUUCUAAUGUUCUUGGAAUUCGUUGAAGCACUGAAAGCAUGACACCAACUAGUGAUAUGUAAACCAAGUCAUGAAGUAGUAUGCCGUUAAAUGAAGAGCAAUACAUCACCAGCCAACAUAUGAAAACCACAAGUUCACAUAAAUCUAUGAAGAUUUGGUAUUGCAAGAUAUUGGAUGGAAUGGAAUAUACAACACACCAAGGACUUUAAAAGAUAUAAAUGAUUCAUCGGCUCCAUCAGCUCCAUCUGAUCCAUCGAAAUCGAUUAGAAGUAGAAGAGAAAAAUGUCGAUUGUCAUGUUGAGAGCCACGUAAGAGGGGCCCUAACGUGUUGCCACAGCUGGCUGGGGAUACAGUGUGCACAGUUCUGCAGACGAAUGACUAUCUACGAGGGUACUAAUUUGUCCUUCUCCAGAAAUGUAAUAUCAGUGAGCGUAGGAACCCGGCGCUGCGACUGGCCACCAGCAAACUGUUGGGCUCAUUCAGAAAAUGGUAAGAGAAAAUGAGGCAAAUCAAAUGGUCCGUUAUGUACUGGGAGCAAUUCGCUGACCAUCCUACUACGGUGAUUUGAAUUGGACUCCCCUUUUUGCGCCUAUUUUAUUUUUAUUUGAUCUACCCUAAAUCAAAUUUCCCAUUAAAUUCAUGCAAUAACUUAACAGGAACACAAAGUUGUUAAAUAAUAUCAAUUUUAAAUGUAAAUCUAAAUGUUAUAUCUAAAUGUUAAAUCUAUAUGUAAAUGUUAUAUCUAAAUGUAAAUGUUAAAUGUAUAUCUGUAAAUGUUAAAUGUAAAUGUUUAAUGUAGAGCUAAAUGUUCACUCACUACAUAUCAGGCUUGACGACUGAACAUUACAAUAUUUACGGUAAUUCACGCCGCGGCAAGACAAGCUGGCAAGUCCGGAUGAAUUAGCUCUUGUUAUAGAAGAGGGGUGUCAAACUCAUUUUAGGUAGGGGGCCACAUACUGUCCACGUUGAAGUCAUGCGGCGGGGUUCACGGGCGCGGAACAUCGCCCUUGACCGGACCAUCAAGGGGGGGUUGCGCAACGCCCCUAAAUAUUGUAAUGUUCAGUCGUCAAGCCUGAUAUGUAGAGUGAACAUUUAGCUCUACAUUUAACAUUUAGAUAUAACUUAACAUUUACAUUUAACAUUUGGAUAUAACAUUUAACAUUUGUAUUAUUUAACAUCUUUGUGUUACUGCCAAACAUUAUCCAUGGAAAGGUUAUUGCAUGUAUUUACAUGAAUUUCUCUCUAAAUGUUUGAAAAAGUGACAUAUGAAUAUUGUCGUGCUUUUUUGUUCAUAUGAUAAUGCUAAAUGUAGCAAAACUGCGCAGGAUUUUAGAACGUGCGACAUUUUACAAACGGCGCCCCAUAGUUGGAGACAUUUUCCAACCGGCUGUCAGUGCGAUGACCAAAGUGCAGCUGAGUAAACAAGUCUUAUUGGGGAGGCAUUAUCUCUAUGGUAAGUGUGGAGGCCGAGGGGAAGGAAAUACCAAAGGGCUAAUAGACGGUGUUUGGCUCGCACUCCAUGAUUAAUUAAUUAUCAUUUUCUGCUCGAUGGCUCUCUUAGGGGUGCUUUGCUGCUGAUGUCAGCAUUUUAGGAGUAUUUCUUUGCCAAACCAUGUAAACCAUACAGUACACGGUCCUGGAUACUUCAAAUUACAGUCCUAAUUUCAUUGCGAUGUAUUUGGCACAUUCAAAGCAAAUCAUGUGCUUGAGUUUGAUGUUUUCUUGUUUCCGUAUAUGGACAUCAUAAUUUAUUAUUCAUGUCUUGACUGUCCUUCCAAAGGCAGAGCUUAUGAGUUGAACUUAACUGAGCUUCGAAUAGAACACUUACUUUAGUGGGAAAUGGAUUAUACGUUUGUUGAUAUUUUCAAUAAAAAAUAAUUUUACAACUUUUCUUGCAUCAUAGAAACUGUUAAUCAUUUAAUACGACGUGGGGCUUUGGAUGAUAGAGAUAUUUUUAUUUUUAAUGCCAUAUUUGCCUGCACUGAUGUCAUGGUCAAAUAGCUGUGGAUUAAAGCCCUGAUUGAGCAAUUGGUCCAACAAACAAGAUGAAAUAUUGGAAAACAUUCUACUGAUCUGAUUGAAAGCUGUGCACUCUCUCAUGGUUCUCUAUUGGGGGCACUUUGGCAGAUAAAAGCUAUUCUUCUAACAACCUAAUUUGGGUCAUUUCACUGGACCAGUCAUCUAAACAAGCUAACAGGCCCGCUGAGAUCUGGACAGAACAUCAGCUUCACUGUUGCAUAUGGCAUAAAAUUCUUCCUCUAACUGAAUAUCAGAGCCAUUCACAAGUCUCAUUGUUAUUACAGCUUCUAUUUGUUUUUGACUGCACACUAACUGUGUAUGUUCUUGAUGAGACAAAGAGAUUUCAUAUGAUUUACAAAAACCCUAAUACUUGAGCCAAUGCUGCGAUUAAUAUUAAAUGCUGUUUAGUAACACGUACCAGGGGCCAUAGGAAAUUAAAAAGAAAUGGUAAAUACGUUAACUCAACAAUCCCCAAUUCUGAGUCGACUGUUGCAGACUACUACUAUCAUAUGAGUAUGAUACGAGUAUGAUAGUAAUAGAAGAUACAUUUAUUAGCAGGCCUUCCGGGAUAAGGAGAAAUGAAGACACUGUUGUAUAUUUGUAAAAGGGAAUCGUUGGCAAUUGAUGUGUUGCACAUGCCACAUACUGUAUAUUAGCUGGUUGGCUUAUGUGAGCCGGAGCUCUCCUCCGUACACCAGUGCUGCAGAUCAAAGGCGGAUAAAGGUCUGUCCGCUUGGGGCUGGUUGCUGCUGGAAGCCCCUCUGGGGCAUAAGCAGGAGGACUUUGGGGAGCCUGCACGAAUGCCUCUGAUUACCUGCAGAAUCUGGCCUGGUGGCACCGCUGACAAGCGUUAAGAAUAGCUUCAUAGAAAUAGGUGAUCCUCUUGCUGAUGGUCUUGUUUACUUUUUUGGGUCAUAUGAAGGCAUACGUAUUAAACUGAGACUCGAUCAUUACUAUUUGAAAGUUCUUCACUUUAAACAUUUGAUAAAUGGCCUGCAAUUUCGAAUGUGCCCAUGAGACAUGCCAACAAUGCAAAAAGCCUGAUCGGAUAAGGUAAAAAACUGGAGUGGAGCUUCCACUUUAAAGAGUCAUGGCAGCAGGUGGGGCGGUUCUAAUUGGCUGCUGAAUGGAACAAAUGCUAUAAUGAGUGCAAGAUAAUCACUUGCUGACAUAAGCAAAAAGUGAGAGGGUGUAGAUGUAGCUGGGUUGUAGUAAGAACACUCUCAUAGGAUAUGAAGUAUAUGAAGAGGUAGGCAUUUUGCACUGCUGGUGGACUAUUGAAGCAGCACGGUUUCCAGUAUCAGAGAUGUUUUAUCGUGCUCUACGAGUACAUAAUUAGCAGUUCCUCAACACUGCAAAUCUCACUAUGACGCUCGAGGACAAAACCACUUAACGACUCAACAAUGCUUCUAGUUGGGAAAAAAAGAGAUAAUGAAAUAUACGUUUCAUACCAGCUAGUUUGAGGAACUCCUUAAUUGCUGGGGACUACUUUCACAAACGUCUCUGCGUCCGCAUUGCUAUUAGCGCAUUAAAGCAGCACUACGGAAAAUAAAAAGUGUUAUUUAUGUUCAGACAAAUACAGAGGCACUGUAUUUCUUCUACCAUUUGCAUUUCAGGGUUUUGGAUGGAACUUCAGUGACAAGAGGGCUUGGGCUAGCAAUACAACCUAUUUAGAAUUUUAGAAAUGAAUACAAUAUCUAAACUUUGAUCGUUCAGUGCUGCACAGAUAAGUGGUUAUUCACAGUGUGGGUGCUAUAUUCUGCAAAAAACAAUGUGUCAAUUAGCGAUUUAUACAAAUGUAUUUUCUGUAAAUGUCUGACUCAGCAGUUAAUAUGAAGGCACUAUGUGCUUCCACCCAAGGAGGGUGUUGAGGAGAGCGGCUGGUUCUGGAUCAAAUUAAUAGCAAACUAAUUGCUCCUCAAGAAGUAAAAAACUGCCUAUUUUCAGAGUCAAUCUGCUUCAACAGAUUGGCCAAAUAAUAUAUAUACUAUUGUCAUACAAAACCAGAUAGGCUCUUUCACAGAUACAGUCCCUGAAAUUAGGGAACUUCUCAUGCAAUGGGCCAUGUGUGAAUGAGAGCAGAGAUUGAUAUUCAUUCGGCUACCACAGUACGUUUGUAAGAAGAGCAACGCAGGGACAAGCAGGAAAAGGGUUACGACCAUCUGAAGAAAGACACUUAGAGGUGAAGGGAGAAAAUCUAUUAUAAGAUGUCUGAAAAUAAUAACAGACAUCUUCCACCCUGAUGGACCAUCCCUUGUCUCAACUACUCAGGCAUUGCCAUAGCAAGUGGGAAAAGUUCCUGAAUGAAGUGCAUGCCUUCAUGGUUAAAAUGCUUGAAAGGUAGUCCUGGUAACUUAGUGAGAUUUACGUGUGAAAGAGGCUUGUUUUAAAAGUUGUUGCGCAUUUCAAAUAGCUUGUCAGAAACUUGUCAUUUGUUGCUCUAACAGAGUAAAAGCGUCAUUCACAUUGUGGGUAACACUGUAUGGAGGACAGGUGGCAGCUGGGCCCAUAAAAAGCUGCACAAUGGCGUGGAACAAUGAUGAAGAAGAGAGUCAUUGACCAUUGGGGAGUGCCAUGAAAUGGCCACCAUGUCAUUGCACAAAGGCACUGGUCCAUUCAGCCUUCGUGACACCUGGAAGCCAUCACCCACAAACACAUGCUUGACUCCAGUAGCUAUACUUUAGAACUCUUCUUAUAGGCAACCUAAGGCUCUGGGAUUUUUUUAGAAACAUGUAAUGCGCAAUAUUCUCACAUUGCAGCCCAGUUUUUACAUAAGGUAAUUUUUGUUAGGGUUGCCAUCAACACAAGGUAUUGUGACAAUUUAAAUAAAGGGCAAGAUUAUAAGUUUUUUAUUUUUCAAUUGCAAUGCAUUUCGCAAGAUGUCCAUAAUUGUGUUUGAAAUAUAAUUAUUCCUGGUGGUAAAGCUUUGAUUAGAAGUCAACCUUAUUGUUCA
ensembl:lncRNA